CCAGUCCAAAAUAGGUUAGAUGCCUCGAAAUUUAACCUAAAUCCCUUAGUCUAUUAGUCUGAUAAGACUCCUAAACUCUUAUUUUAUAUUGUGUAGAACAAGAUUUGUUGCCAGAUUUAACGUAAGUUAAUCUGUGGUCCUACCCGACCAAAAGGGGGUGGAUUCAAAUUAAAUUGCUUAAAAUCCCUUAAAGAAAGGUGAAUCAUAAGCUAAAUUGCUAGUAAAACCUUAAAGGUAAGCUUUGCGCCAAACUGCUUAUAAAUCCUCAGAGACAGGUAAAGCAUGCGCUAAAAUAGCUGGUAAAUCCUAAACAAGGUGUAGCAUUUCUAACACUGAAAGAAAAGUGUUUCUUUGAUAUCACAG